rnacentral:rRNA from 1 species
CCUGGGGAGUACGGCCGCAAGGUUAAAACUCAAAUGAAUUGACGGGGGCCCGCACAAGCGGUGGAGCAUGUGGUUUAAUUCGAUGCAACGCGAAGAACCUUACCUGGUCUUGACAUCCACAGAACUUAGCAGAGAUGCUUUGGUGCCUUCGGGAACUGUGAGACAGGUGCUGCAUGGCUGUCGUCAGCUCGUGUUGUGAAAUGUUGGGUUAAGUCCCGCAACGAGCGCAACCCUUAUCCUUUGUUGCCAGCGGUUCGGCCGGGAACUCAAAGGAGACUGCCAGUGAUAAACUGGAGGAAGGUGGGGAUGACGUCAAGUCAUCAUGGCCCUUACGACCAGGGCUACACACGUGCUACAAUGGCAUAUACAAAGAGAAGCGACCUCGCGAGAGCAAGCGGACCUCAUAAAGUAUGUCGUAGUCCGGAUUGGAGUCUGCAACUCGACUCCAUGAAGUCGGAAUCGCUAGUAAUCGUAGAUCAGAAUGCUACGGUGAAUACGUUCCCGGGCCUUGUACACACCGCCCGUCACACCAUGGGAGUGGGUUGCAAAAGAAGUAGGUAGCUUAACCUUCGGGAGGGCGCUUACCACUUUGUGAUUCAUGACUGGGGUGAAGUCGUAACAAGGUAACCGUAGGGGAACCUGCGGUUGGAUCACCUCCUUACCUUAAAGAA